GAAAUAAAUAAUAUAUGCUAACAACGUAUGAAGGUAAUAUUUUUGAAUUCUUCCUCCGCUCCGUUUUUUUUUUUUUUUUGGUU
rnacentral:ribozyme from 1 species